GGACACAUAAGGCUGCAAUAAGACACUGCUUUUGGGAACAUAUCUGUGAACUCCACAACUACUGGACAUCACCAUCAGAAGAGAAUGCAUCCUCUAAUCUUUGAUCUACUUGGGCGAACCUGUUGAGCACCUUAUCAAAGAAGGAGAUGCAGAAAAAUGAGGCUGAAAAACUGGAGCUGGCAACCAUGGCGAUCUUUAUCACUGGGAAAGAUGAUCCUCUCCAUCCACCCAAAGACAUUAUGACUGACACUGAAGGGGGUCCUGAACGAGUUGCCUUUGGUUGGAACAGCUGUUGCCAUGUUCUUUGGGCUCAUUUACACACUCAAACUAAAAAAUCUGAAAAGGCUGAAAUCCAACUUUGAAGUUAUGCAAAAGGUCCUAUUUUAUGGUGUUUCUACAGUAAAGACUUUAGAUCAUUUUAUAAGAGGUUGCACUUACUGUACAUGGCUACAUUUUCACUUCAGUAUUUACAAAUGUGGUGGCCCAAGUUUGGUGACUGCCAGCAUCACAUACGGAAGUAGGCUGAGUGUUCUGGACAACUGGAGACAAUGAUUGCAGCGUUUGCACAGAUUUGUACGGCAGAUAAGUUAGAUUUUCAGACCAAGGGAGAGGGAAAGGAGAUUUCUAUCUUGAGAACUGACGAGGUUCACACAAGUCAUCUUAAAAUCCUUGAGGAAAAUAAUUUGGAUAACUGCUGAUGUUAAAAAUGUGUUCUUUCAAAUAUUUUUUGCCUUUUCAAUGUUCUUAACUUGUGAUUCCAUCAAGUGAGUGAUACUUACCAACUUUGUGGGCUCAGAGCUUUUGUUUGAGCUAUUACAUCUAAAUUAACUGUAUUCAUUUAAAUGAAUACAGUUAAUAAGAUGUACAGCUCUCAAUCAGAAACUCUGUCAGUGUCUUAGACAUUGAAUAGUGGAACUCCAGGAUUUGUCUCUUGUGUUCAGCUGAAAGUGAUUUCAGAAACAUUUAAAAGGUGUACAGGUGGAAUGUGUUCUGUCAGGAAAGAACUUCCUAAUUCUUUGUUACUACAAAUGUGAAGUCAUCAAAUGACAAUUUAAAUGAAAAAAUUUGUGGGCUUACAGUAUUUUUGUGUUAGCCAUUACGUUCAAAUUAGUUUAUUUAAAGAUGAACAAAACACAUGGUUCAUAUGCUGCACUAGUAGUAGAUAUUUUCAUCCUGUAGCACACACUGAUCCACCACAAUCUGUAAUGUCAGAGUAACUUUUUUGCCAUAGACAGAUGUUAUCACAUCCAAAGACCUCACAGAUUAGUCUGGGGCAGUGUGUGCAGCAGGGUUAAAAUAUCAACCACUAGGCCAGCACAUUUACCAUGUGUUUAGCUGAUAGGAAUGCUCACACAUCAGAAAACGUACACAGGUAAAUUGGCCACAGGUGCUGGCUGCAUGAUGUCUUAGGAGUUAUUACUAGUUGCUACUAUUCACAGCUCCAUGAUUUUUCUUUUGACGUAAUCAGUAGUCCUUUUCUGGUGUUCAGCUGAAGGAGACUGUUCAUCUUCAUACAUUUGAAACAGAUGGUAUGAAUUUAUGGAACAAUAAAUAUAAAUAUGU